rnacentral:rRNA from 1 species
GACGAACGCUGGCGGCGUGCUUAACACAUGCAAGUCGAACGGAAAGGCCCUGCUUUUGUGGGGUGCUCGAGUGGCGAACGGGUGAGUAACACGUGAGUAACCUGCCCUUGACUUUGGGAUAACUUCAGGAAACUUGGGCUAAUACCGGAUAGGAGCUCCUGCUGCAUGGUGGGGGUUGGAAAGUUUCGGCGGUUGGGGAUGGACUCGCGGCUUAUCAGCUUGUUGGUGGGGUAGUGGCUUACCAAGGCUUUGACGGGUAGCCGGCCUGAGAGGGUGACCGGCCACAUUGGGACUGAGAUACGGCCCAGACUCCUACGGGAGGCAGCAGUGGGGAAUAUUGCACAAUGGGCGGAAGCCUGAUGCAGCAAAGCCGCGUGCGGGAUGACGGCCUUCGGGUUGUAAACCGCAUUCGCCUGUGACGAAGCGUGAGUGACGGUAAUGGAUAAAGAAGCACCGGCUAACUACGUG